CUCAGGAUGAACGCUAGCGGCAGGCCUAAUACAUGCAAGUCGAACGGGUGUAGCAAUACACUAGUGGCGCACGGGUGCGUAACGCGUAACCAACCUGCCCUUGACUGGGGGAUAGCCCGCCGAAAGGCGGAUUAAUACCGCAUAAUACACGGAGCCGGCAUCGGCUUUUUGUUAAAGAUUUAUUGGUCAAGGAUGGGGUUGCGUGACAUUAGCUGGUUGGCGGGGUAACGGCCCACCAAGGCGACGAUGUCUAGGGGAGCUGAGAGGCUGGUCCCCCACACGGGCACUGAGAUACGGGCCCGACUCCUACGGGAGGCAGCAGUAGGGAAUAUUGGGCAAUGGGCGAGAGCCUGACCCAGCCAUGCCGCGUGCAGGAUGAAGGCUUUCUGAGUCGUAAACUGCUUUUGCCAGGGAAGAAUAAGGCCCAUGCGUGGGCCGACGACGGUACCUGGUGAAUAAGCACCGGCUAACUCCGUGCCAGCAGCCGCGGUAAUACGGAGGGUGCAAGCGUUGUCCGGAUUUAUUGGGUUUAAAGGGUGCGUAGGCGGCUGAUUAAGUCCGGGGUGAAAGCCCGUUGCUCAACAACGGAACUGCCCUGGAAACUGGUUGGCUUGAGUACAGACGAGGGCGGCGGAAUGGAUGCUGUAGCGGUGAAAUGCAUAGAUAGCAUCCAGAACCCCGAUUGCGAAGGCAGCUGCCUAGACUGUAACUGACGCUUGAGGCACGAAAGCGUGGGGAGCGAACAGGAUUAGAUACCCUGGUAGUCCACGCCGUAAACGAUGGAUACUCGCUGCCGGCGAUACAAUGUCGGUGGCUUAGCGAAAGCGUUAAGUAUCCCACCUGGGGAGUACGCCCGCAAGGGUGAAACUCAAAAGAAUUGACGGGGGCCCGCACAAGUGGUGGAGCAUGUGGUUUAAUUCGAUGAUACGCGAGGAACCUUACCUAGGCUAGAAUGCGCGUGACCGCCUCGGAGACGAGGCUUUCCUUCGGGACACAAAGCAAGGUGCUGCAUGGCCGUCGUCAGCUCGUGCCGUGAGGUGUUGGGUUAAGUCCCGCAACGAGCGCAACCCCUAUGGUUAGUUGCCAGCACGUAAUGGUGGGGACUCUAGCCAGACUGCCUGCGCAAGCAGUGAGGAAGGCGGGGACGACGUCAGGUCAUCAUGGCCCUUACGCCUAGGGCUACACACGUGCUACAAUGGACGGUACAGCGGGUUGCCAACCAGCGAUGGUGCGCCAAUCCCGAAAAGCCGUUCUCAGUUCGGAUCGGAGUCUGCAACUCGACUCCGUGAAGCUGGAAUCACUAGUAAUCGCGUAUCAGCAAUGACGCGGUGAAUACGUUCCCGGGCCUUGUACACACCGCCCGUCAAGCCAUGAAAGUCUGGUAGACCUGAAGCCGGUGCUCCGCAACGAAGCCGGUUAGGGUAGAACAGGUAAUUAGGGCUAAGUCGUA
rnacentral:rRNA from 1 species